GAUGAACGCUCGCGGCAGGCUUAAUACAUGCAAGUCGUGGGGCAGCAGGACUGUAGCAAUACAGUUGCUGGCGACCGGCAAACGGGUGCGGAACACGUACGCAACUUACCCUGAACUGGGGGAUAGCCCGGGGAAACCCGGAUUAAUACCCCGUAAUAUAAUGGAGUGGCAUCACUUUAUUAUUAAAGCUCCGGUGGUUCGGGAUGGGCGUGCGGCUGAUUAGGUAGUUGGUUGAGGUAACGGCUCACCAAGCCUACGAUCAGUAACUGGUGUGAGAGCACGACGAGUCACAGGGGAACGGAGCCACGGGCCGGCCCACUCCGGGCGGCAGCAGAAAGGAAUAUGGGGCAGGGGAGGCAACUCUGACCCCCCCAGGCCGGGUGGAGGAGGAAGGCCCUUGGGUUGGUAAUCUUCUUUUAGGGGGGAAAAACCCUGUGUUGUCUUCCGCAGUUGACGGUCCCCAAGAAAUAAGCACCGGCUACCCCCGUG
rnacentral:rRNA from 1 species